UACGGAGGGUGCAAGCGUUGUCCGGAAUCACUGGGCGUAAAGGGCGCGUAGGCGGCCUGGUAAGUGGGGGGUGAAAUCCUGCGGCUUAACCGCAGGGCUGCCUUCUAAACUGUCAGGCUUGAGCACGGUAGAGGCAGAUGGAAUUCCCGGUGUAGCGGUGGAAUGCGUAGAGAUCGGGAAGAACAUCAGUGGCGAAGGCGGUCUGCUGGGCCGUUGCUGACGCUGAGGCGCGACAGCGUGGGGAGCAAACAGG
rnacentral:rRNA from 1 species